AGCCGAGAGUGCAGUGUGCUUGGGUCAGUCCUCGUUCGCCUGAGCACAGCGAUGGAGAACCAACCAGCCGGACCCCGGAUGACCCUCCUGCAGCUCAGGUGCGGCGAGGCUGUUGCAAUUAGGAUUUGGCUCUUGGUCGUGGAGAGGAGCGUAAAUUGGGUGGUAAAUUUCAUCUAAAGCUAAAUACAGGCUCGAGACCGAUAGCAAACAAGUACCAUGAGG
rnacentral:ncRNA from 1 species